rnacentral:rRNA from 1 species
AUUGAACGCUGGCGGCAUGCCUUACACAUGCAAGUCGAACGGUAACAGGUCUUCGGAUGCUGACGAGUGGCGAACGGGUGCGUAAUACAUCGGAACGUGCCCGAUCGUGGGGGAUAACGGAGCGAAAGCUUUGCUAAUACCGCAUACGAUCUACGGAUGAAAGCAGGGGACCGCAAGGCCUUGCGCGGACGGAGCGGCCGAUGGCAGAUUAGGUAGUUGGUGGGAUAAAAGCUUACCAAGCCGACGAUCUGUAGCUGGUCUGAGAGGACGACCAGCCACACUGGGACUGAGACACGGCCCAGACUCCUACGGGAGGCAGCAGUGGGGAAUUUUGGACAAUGGGCGAAAGCCUGAUCCAGCCAUGCCGCGUGCAGGAUGAAGGCCUUCGGGUUGUAAACUGCUUUUGUAAGGAACGAAAAGACUCUUUCUAAUAAAGAGGGUCCAUGACGGUACCGUAAGAAUAAGCACCGGCUAACUACGUG